rnacentral:misc_RNA from 1 species
GGCACGAAUGCUUUUUCAGUUUCUUCUUUCUUUCUUUUUGUUCUCCAAUUUAAAGUCGUUGUUGUAGUUUUAGAUAUUGAGAGAUUCGAGUUCAACUGUAACAUAUGCGGCAGCAAGUUGGUAGCAUAAUUUGUUGCUUGGUAGGAGUUUAAUCUGUCUCAUUGUAUUUUAGCUUUUGUAUGAGCAGCAGAUAUUUUAAACCAAAUUAUUUAUUCCAUGAAGAUAUUUCAAUGUCCCGG